CGACCAUCUGGGACCUGCUGCGCCGGUUUUUCUGGUUUCCGGCUACCAGGGGGCGCUAGGACCCAAUCGGACGUGCUAGGAGGGGCGGCGGCCAAGUGGUCCGGGAGCCGCGCGUUCGGGUGUGGGGGACCGUAGCUUGGACCCGGGAGGGCUGCAAGCCUACUCAAGCUGCUUUUCUUCUUCCAUCACCUUCUCCUUUCGCUGUACACGGGCCACACAGUGGAACUGCAGCGGUGAAAACGACUGAAGUCGGGGCGCUGUAACCUCCUGACCACCCUGAGGAGCGGCAGCUUGCUUCAGUCGUGUCCAACUGUGUGCGACCCCAUAGAUGGCAGCCCACCAGGCUCCGCCGUCCCUGGGAUUCUCCAGGCAAGAACACUGGAGUGGGUUGCCAUUUCCUUCUUCAAUGCACGAAAGUGAAAAGUGAAAGUGAAGUCGCUCAGUCGUGUCUGACUCUUCGAGACCCCAUGGACUGCAGCCUACCAGGCUCCUCCGUCCAUGGGAUUUUCCAGGGAAACACAAGUAAGAAUGGAGGAUGCUCUUCUCCCUAGAAGCUAACAAAGGGUCAAGUCUUUCUCUGUGAAAUGGCUGUAGAAUAUAAACAGAGGCUCCUGGCAUUUCCCUCCUGGCUCAGUUCAAGAACCACCCACUCCAAGCUGUCUUCCUGGAUUUUCUCAGCCCAAAGUAAUCCUUCUUUUUCUGAGGUAAGUUAUAAAUCUUGUUAUUGUUCAGUUGCUAAGUCGUGUCCAGCUCUUUGUGACCCCAUGGACUGCAGCAUGCCAGGCCUCCCUGUCCAUCACCAUCUCCUGGAGUUUGCCCAAGUUCAUGUCCUUUGAAUCGGUGAUGCCAUCCAACCAUUUCAUCCUCUGUCACCCCCUUCUCCUGCCCUCAAUCUUCCCCAGCAUCAGGGUCUUUUCCAGUGAGUCAGCUCUUCACAUCAGGUGGCCAAAAUAUUAGAGCUUCAGCUUGAGCAUCAGUCCUUCCAGUGAAUAUUCAGGGUUGAUUUCCUUUAGGAUUGACUGAAUUGAUCUUGCUGUCCAAGGGAUUCUCAUUGCUCUUGGUUUAUUUGUUUUAUUUAGACUCCAUUCACUGUUUUACAAUCAUACCCUUUGCUUUGUACUUAUUUGGCUUUGUUUUGGGCCAUGCCACGGCAUGUGGGAUCUUAGUUCCCCUGCCAGGGAAGUCCCUGUACUUGUUCAUAUUCAUGACUUCUAUCCUCUACCUGAUUUUAAAUUCCUUGAGGGAAGGUACUUAGGUUGUUCAACUUUAAAUGAAUAAUUUUCUUUCUCAUCAUCAGGUACAAAAGAGGUUCAACAGUGAGUAUUGCAGAUGCUGAGCUUCAUCUGUGAACAAAACCUACCGAGUCUCUGACCUCAUGGAACUCAUGAUGUGGACUCAGGGCCACACAGGAACAACUCACAGCAAACUACAGGGACACUCAUGACAGGUCUGUGCCCAGGGAAGUCCACCAAGUCUCCAGGUCUGAGGCAUUUAUGAAACAAAACUCAAGUCUCAAAUGAAAGGAUCCCUGAAGACUUCCUUAUGGAUUUUGUCUCUGGGAACAUGGCUCAGCAGCAUGGACACAGAAAGAGCAGUGGUGGCUGAUUGCAUUGAUCCGGAUUUGGAAGUUGUUAAAGCAGAAGGAUAAGGCUGCUCUCUACCAAGAUCUCCAGAGCCUCACAUUGGUCAGUGCCCUCAAGGAGGCAGAGUCUGGCUUCAGGCCUCUAGCCUUCUCUCUUUU
ensembl:lncRNA